UACAGAGACCUCAAGCGUUAUCCGGAAUCAUUGGGCGUAAAGCGUACCGAUAGGUGGUUUACACAGUCAGAGGUGAAAUCUCAAGGCUCAACCUUGAGUCUGUCCUUUGAUACUUGUAAACUAGAGGGGCAAAGAGGAAGCUGGAACGAACGGUGUAGUAGUGAAAUGCGUUGAUAUCGUUCGGAACACCAAUAGCGUAGGCAAGCUUCUGGGUGCCACCUGACACUGCUAGGACGAAAGCGUGGGGAGCGAAUGGG
rnacentral:rRNA from 1 species